GACGAACGCUGGCGGCGUGCUUAACACAUGCAAGUCGAACGGAAAGGCCCUGCUUUUGUGGGGUGCUCGAGUGGCGAACGGGUGAGUAACACGUGAGUAACCUGCCCUUGACUUUGGGAUAACUUCAGGAAACUGGGGCUAAUACCGGAUAGGAGCUCCUGCUGCAUGGUGGGGGUUGGAAAGUUUCGGCGGUUGGGGAUGGACUCGCGGCUUAUCAGCUUGUUGGUGGGGUAGUGGCUUACCAAGGCUUUGACGGGUAGCCGGCCUGAGAGGGUGAACGGCCACAUUGGGACUGAGAUACGGCCCAGACUCCUACGGGAGGCAGCAGUGGGGAAUAUUGCACAAUGGGCGGAAGCCUGAUGCAGCAACGCCGCGUGCGGGAUGACGGCCUUCGGGUUGUAAUCCGCUUUCGCCUGUGACGAAGCGUGAGUGACGGUAAUGGGUAAAGAAGCACCGGCUAACUACGUG
rnacentral:rRNA from 1 species